rnacentral:piRNA from 1 species
UGCAAAUAUUUUUAUUUUGGUGAGUGUGG